GGUCUUUCUUCCUAUACUAGUGACAUUAAGGUGAAGACAUUCCGGCCCAAAUAGCGCCGGGAGGCUAUAAAAAUCACGAAAGUGUGUACUUAUUCACAAUUAUGUAAUCUAGUAGAUUGUCAAUGUCCUUCGGUAUCUUUUCACGGUUUCUGUGAGUUUUUGCUUCAAUAUUAUGGUUGUAGCCAUGGUUAUACAAACGUAGGAGGAUCUUAGGACAAGGGUUAUGCUAUCCUAAAGUUAAGAUGAACGUAGGACGUUUCCUAACUUUAGGAAACCUUCGAGAACCUGCCUUAAGACUAAAACGUGUCUUAAGGUAUUCAAUGUAUAAUGAAAGGAUAAUGAACAAUUUUGAAGGAUUUUUGAUUGUUAAAUAAUGAUGAAAGUGAAGCAGAUGAAAUUCACAUGAAUGGUAAAUGAUUAGAAGAUGACGGGUUUGCACUUAAGACUUUUUGGAAAAGUUGUCUGCCCUUUGUAAAAAUAAGAAAAAUCUAAUUUUCUAAAAAUGUGUGUGGUCAAUGAUUAAUUUUAUUUUAUAUUUUCACUAAGAGAAAGUGUUUGUAACUUUCUACCAAGAGAUUUGUAUGAAAAUAUAAUUUCUUUUUAAAAUAUUGUAAUAAAACAUGCUUUUCCGAUAUACUUCAAUGUUAAAUUGUAGGUGAAAUAAAUCAAGCAGUAAACAAAAUUUUGAAAAUUCCUAUGGUGGAUUAUAUUUAUCUGAUGAACCCUUCAAAAUGAUACCAUGAUUACAAAAAUUCCAACAUCCGUUUAUUAGAUAUGAUAUAUGGUCAUUAUACAUUGAAUACCUUAAGACAUACUUAAGGCAUGUCUUUAUCCUAAGAUAGCUUCGUGAACAUACCUGCGGUGUUGUUUUUAUUUAUGUGGAUACGUGGUAUAGCUACAAAUAGUAAAAAGCUAAUUUUAUAUAUAUAUUUAUAAAGACGGAAAAAUAAUAUUUUUAAUUGCUUUUGGAACAGUACCAUUCUAUCGGCUUAAAAUUUGAAGGAAUGUUAGAACUGAUAGCUACAAAACUAUCAUGGGUUAUUUCUAAUAUUUUCCUCAAUGCAUUUCCGCACGCCUUGUAUAUCAUAACAAGACAAAACGGAAGUCAUUAUAACAUUCAAGGUAGGUAAAAAUUCCAAUGAUUCUAUGUGCAGGGUUUCAACAAAGAAAGAAAGUACACAGCUGUACACGUUAGCUUAUUCUAGAAAAAAACUACAUUCACAGAAACAGAAUUAACUUGCUCAUUUGAUAGACUGACGUCACAAGGAUCGUCAUGUUGACCAAUCCGUUCGAACGAGAUAGGGUAACUGAGUUUUAUAACUUGAAAUGGGAUGAAGUGUCUCCAGUACUCGCCAAAGAAAGGAGUGGACAUCGGUUCUCAGACAAUCAGAAUGGAUGUGUAUGAGGACUACGUGCUGAUACAUGGCUGUCCAAUGACACGUGUCUCUAUCUUUCUCAGCACUGAAUCUACAACAUACAGCGAAUUUUAUCAUAAAUAACACUCUAAAGAACUUCAUCAUCAUUCGUUACUAUUGCAACCGUGUAGGAAAUCAAUAUGCAAAAUUUCACUAUCGAACUAAAUAAGGUAGGCGAGUUCCAUUGCUGCAUUUUUUGGCAAUGACGGAAUCAAGUAAUUGUAUAUUACUACAUGAUACAAUGUGAGAUGGAUCUUUGAAUGUGAGAAUGAUUCUCAGGUAAAAACAAAAUUGACCCCCAUAAUUCACAGGGCCAAAUAGAUCAACUUUAAAUAAAAAACGCUGAAAAACAUUAACGGAGAAUGGAAUCCACGUGUGUUUCAAUGACGACGCUGUCCUGAAUUACGUUAUAAGCUUUGUGUGUCGUACACGUUUAAAUAUCGACGACACACUACUCAAAAACCCAAAACACCAAUGUUCACCACACUUUCAGAUUAAGACAUAAGGUUUGGAGAUAAGUCUAUCAUGUUUUAUCAUAUAUGGCCAUGAACACCCAUGAGAAUGAAGCCAGAAUAAGUCAACAUUUUCCAAUGUUGAUUCUGUUUUGUAUGACAUAAAACAUUUACUAACUUUGAUUUGAGGUUUUCAAAAAGAAUUGAAAUAGUGAUAUAGACGGAUUUACAACCCUCACCGUUCAUCAUGGUUGCCUAUCAGUGUUGUGACGUCUGGGUAUACUAGAAGAAGGUACAUCUACAAUCUGAAUAUAUAUUUAAAAAUUGUUUCAAUAUGACAUUUGAUCUUGAUGAUAGUUUUACAUUGUGUGUAUACCAUGCCUUCAUAAUGUAUAUUUGACAUCUUUUGCCAAAUUUUGUCCUUUCUCUUCGAAAUCAUGUUUUGUCCGCUACUCAAUUUGUUUUUGUAUAAUAUAAAGCCAGGAAAAUAUAUCUUAAAAAUACAAGCGAAAUGUUAUCUAAUUAUUACAAGCAUCUGCAACAAGGCCACAUGUUGUUCGUGUAGUCAAGGACUUUUUUGUUCAACAGAAUGUUGAUGUCUUCCCUUGGUCAGCUGUUUCCCCGAUUUAUCGCCGAUCGAGCACGUCUGAGAUGAAAUGGAACGAUGUCUACGCCGUUUACCAAAUCAGCCAGUGACAUUGGCUGAUUUAGGCCAAGCUUUAACCAAUAUUUCGAACAACAUCCCUCAAGCAUUUCUGAACACGUUAGUGACAUCAAUGGGGCGCCGUUGUUAAGCAUGCGUGAAUGCAAAUGGUGGUCACACGCGUUAUCAACUUUGUUAAUUCACGUUCUUUGGAGUGUGCUGAAAUUGACGUUAUU